rnacentral:rRNA from 1 species
UACGGAGGAUCCAAGCGUUAUCCGGAAUCAUUGGUUUUAAAGGGUCCGUAGGCGGUUUAAUAAGUCAGUGGUGAAAGCCCAUCGCUCAACGGUGGAACGGCCAUUGAUACUGUUAAACUUGAAUUAUUAGGAAGUAACUAGAAUAUGUAGUGUAGCGGUGAAAUGCUUAGAGAUUACAUGGAAUACCAAUUGCGAAGGCAGGUUACUACUAAUGGAUUGACGCUGAUGGACGAAAGCGUGGGUAGCGAACAGG